UUUAUUCCCUCGGGAAUUCCGUCAGAAAAUGCCAUAUUUUCUUGUUGAAACGGCCAUACGAGCAUCCAAGUUAUUAAGAGCAAAGCACAUCUCCAUACUAGAAUUUCCACCUCUAGCCACAAGAACAGUUUUACCUUUUAAGUCAUGUCCAGAUUUGUAAUUACUUGAAUGCACAAUUUCACCAUUGAAAAUAUCAAGCCGUUUCACCGCCGGAAUGUAACAUUCUCCGUUCACUCCAGUCACAACCACCACAAACGACGAUCAGUACAACCUCCAGAGUUUGUGGUGCUGGUUGGAGUUUCUGUCGGUUGCAACUGAAGAAAAUAGAGAUCAGUAUCUUCUGACGGUGAAAGGCUUGGUACUUUUACCAGAGAUAUUGUGCAUUCAAGUCUGUACACUUUGGACGUGACUUUAAAGGUAAAUUUUUUUUUCUUGUGGUCGAAGGUGAAAAUUCAGGUUUGGAGUUUCUUUGAUCUAAACAAAUUGGAUGCAAAUACGUUCAGUAAGUAAAUGAAUUAAUGUAGCUUUGUCUUUUAAUUAUUAAUUUGUGAAUGAAUGAACGUUAAAGCUGCACACUUCUCUUGCAUGUCAAUUUAUUGUUUACGAUUUUAUUUUUUGGUGUGAAAUAAUUACUAAUAUGCCUCUCAAAAAUAAUUGAUGUUUUAUAUAUUCAUUAAAAUCUUGUUUGAAUUAUUGAGUGUUGAGCUCAUAAACCAUAGUAUCAUAUGAUAAUGCUAGUCGCUAUGAUCUUUUGCUAGUUUAGUACAAUAUGAGUCUUAUCAGUGUCUUCAGUUUUUCAACUUUAGCAAAGGAAAUAAAUCUUUUAUUUCAAAAAAUAAUAAACGCUCAACAUCUAAUUUUUUAAUAUUCUCUUUUUUUUUGUUACCCCUAUGUCAAUAUAUUUAUUUCAUUCUCUGAAUUUGUGCAGAUGUAUGUACUGCAGAGGCAUGUAUUUCAGAGGAAUGUAUUGACCAAAGAAGAGGAUACUAGGAGAUGUCAUUGCUGAAGUAUUUCCAGUGACUAUGGUUGACAUAUUGGUGAUUUUGAUGGCUAAGCAGGGUUAUUUAUGUACGUAGAUCCAUACAAGUAUUGGCUCGAUCAUCCGACCAAACAAGGUCCUUUCACCACCAAAUUCUUUACCUGGAGAACUCCAAUCAUCAGUGAGGGAACUUUCCAAAAGAUUUGGGAUGGCAAGAUUUUCUUAUGGAAAAUAGAAGAUACUUGAAUCUUUUGUCUCAAAUCUUUUGGACAGUUCCCUCACUAAUGACUGGAGUUCUCGCGGUAAAGAAUUUGGUGGUGAAAACCCUUUUUGGUAGGAAAAUUCACUACUUGGAGGGAUCUCCAUACAUAAAUAACAUUGCCUUAGCCAUCAAAAUCACUAAUGUGUCAACCAUAGUCACCGGAAAAUACUUAAGCAAUGACAUCCCCAUGUAUACCUCUUCUUUCGCCAAUAUAUGCACAUGUACUUUUCUUUUUGGACAACUACAUGCACCUGUACAAAUUUAGAGAAUUGAUUGAAUAAAAUAACAUAUUAAGUUUUUCUCUAACGUUGCUUUUUCAAUGUUUUAUACAUGUAUAAGGGAUACAAAUACAUGCCUCUUGUAAGAAGUUUUACAUGGAAAGUAAAUGACGCCUCUGUUAGAAUAUGGAUACACAUUCAAAAUUUCAUUGUUGAGGUACAUUUAAAAUAAAAUAAAAAUAUAUGAAAAUAUUACAUUUCAUAAUUAUUUUCUAAUUUUGAAAAAAAAAUUAAGGGGAAAACAAAUCCGCAUUUUGAAAGUACGAGUCAAAAGGAAAAGAAAAAGGCAAAGAAGUAGAUUUUAUAUAAAUGACAUUUUCCGAGGCCGGACAGAACAAUAAACAAAGGCCUAGCCCACUACAAGCCUAAUAAAGUCAGCCCAUCUUUGGCCUACCCGCUGCCACAUAUCAAGUAAAAUCUGUUUCCAUAAUCAGACUUCCGCCACAUAUGGACGGCACAGAUCAAAUAACACGCGCGAGGAGAUAGCCGUUAGAUGUAAAAACGAAAAAGACAACUAUAUCCCCAAACCAAAAUCAAAACGAUUAUAAAUACAAACUCCUAAAACCCUAAAUCGAAAAAUAUCUUACGCAGCUUAUUUGCCUCUCUCUCUCUCUGCAGUUCUCAAAUUCGCCAUGGGUAAAAAAUCCGCCACCAAAGUUGAAGCAGCCCCUGCUGCCAUUAAGGCGACCAAACCUUUGAAGAAAGG